rnacentral:rRNA from 1 species
AGUGAACGCUGGCGGUAGGCCUAACACAUGCAAGUCGAACGGCAGCACAGUAAGAGCUUGCUCUUACGGGUGGCGAGUGGCGGACGGGUGAGGAAUACAUCGGAAUCUACUUUUUCGGGGGGGAUAACGUAGGGAAACUUACGCUAAUACCGCAUACGACCUACGGGUGAAAGCAGGGGAUCUUCGGACCUUGCGCGAUUGAAUGAGCCGAUGUCGGAUUAGCUAGUUGGCGGGGUAAAGGCCCACCAAGGCGACGAUCCGUAGCUGGUCUGAGAGGAUGAUCAGCCACACUGGAACUGAGACCCAGUCCAGACUCCUACGGGAGGCACCGGUGGAGAAUAUUGGACAAUGGGCGCAAGCCUGAUCCGCCCAUACCGCGUGAGUGUAGAAGGCCUUCGGGUUGUAAAGCCCUUUUGUUGGUAAAGAAAAGCAUCAUGUUGAUACCCCGCUGUACUGACAGUACCCAAAGAAUAAGCACCGGCUAACUUCGUG